GAUGAAGAACGUAGCGAAAUGCGAUAAGUAAUGUGAAUUGCAGAAUUCAGUGAAUCAUCGAAUCUUUGAACGCACAUUGCGCCCGCCAGUAUUCUGGCGGGCAUGCCUGUUCGAGCGUCAUUACAACCCUCAGGCCCCCGGGCCUGGCGUUGGGGAUCGGCGGAAGCCCCCUGCGGGCACAACGCCGUCCCCCAAAUACAGUGGCGGUCCCGCCGCAGCUUCCAUUGCGUAGUAGCUAACACCUCGCAACUGGAGAGCGGCGCGGCCACGCCGUAAAACACCCAACUUUUGAAUGUUGACCUCGAAUCAGGUAGGAAUACCCGCUGAACUUAAGCAUAUCAAUAAGCGGAGGA
rnacentral:misc_RNA from 1 species